AGAAGAGGGAAUUUAUUAUGGGAAUUGGCUCACAUGAUUAUGGAGGCCCAGAAGUCCCACGAUCUGCCAACUGCAAGCCAGAGAAUCAAGGAAACUAAUUCAGUCUGAGUCCCAAGACCUGAGAACAAGGAGAGCUGAUGAUGUAACUCCUAGUCUGAGGCUGAAGGCCUAAGAACCAGGAGCACCAGUGUCUGAAGGCAGGAAAAGGCACGCAGGGAAGGGGAGCAACAUGGGGCUGUAGGGUGAGAGUCCCGCGUGGAGAUUAAACGACAAGAAGUUCCUCCAGAAAGCCUGAGAAGGCAAGGCCAAGGGACACUGUUGAUGGAAAGGUGGCCCCUGCAUCUGGAUGGGCCCUGCUCAU
rnacentral:lncRNA from 1 species